rnacentral:rRNA from 1 species
AUUGAACGCUGGCGGCAGGCCUAACACAUGCAAGUCGAACGAGUGGCGGACGGGUGAGUAAUGUCUGGGAAACUGCCUGAUGGAGGGGGAUCACUACUGGAAACGGUAGCUAAUACCGCAUACCAUCAGAUGUGCCCAGAUGGGAUUAGCUAGUUGGGGGGGUAACGGCUCACCAAGGCGACGAUCCCUAGCUGGUCUGAGAGGAGGAACGGCCACACGGGAACUGAGAAACGGCCCAGACUCCUACGGGAGGCAGCAGUGGGGAAUAUUGGACAAUGGGCGCAAGCCUGAUGCAGCAAGGCCGGGUGUAUGAAGAAGGCCUUCGGGUUGUAAAGUACUUUCAGCGGGUAGGCGUUACCCGCAGAAGAAGCACCGGCUAACUCCGUGCCAGCAGCCGCGGUAAUUC